rnacentral:rRNA from 1 species
GCGUAGCAAUACGUCAGCGGCAGACGGGUGAGUAACGCGUGGGAACGUACCUUUUGGUUCGGAACAACACAGGGAAACUUGUGCUAAUACCGGAUAAGCCCUUACGGGGAAAGAUUUAUCGCCGAAAGAUCGGCCCGCGUCUGAUUAGCUAGUUGGUGAGGUAACGGCUCACCAAGGCGACGAUCAGUAGCUGGUCUGAGAGGAUGAUCAGCCACAUUGGGACUGAGACACGGCCCAAACUCCUACGGGAGGCAGCAGUGGGGAAUAUUGGACAAUGGGCGCAAGCCUGAUCCAGCCAUGCCGCGUGAGUGAUGAAGGCCCUAGGGUUGUAAAGCUCUUUUGUGCGGGAAGAUAAUGACGGUACCGCAAGAAUAAGCCCCGGCUAACUUCGUGCCAGCAGCCGCGGUAAUACGAAGGGGGCUAGCGUUGCUCGGAAUCACUGGGCGUAAAGGGUGCGUAGGCGGGUCUUUAAGUCAGGGGUGAAAUCCUGGAGCUCAACUCCAGAACUGCCUUUGAUACUGAGGAUCUUGAGUUCGGGAGAGGUGAGUGGAACUGCGAGUGUAGAGGUGAAAUUCGUAGAUAUUCGCAAGAACACCAGUGGCGAAGGCGGCUCACUGGCCCGAUACUGAC